GAUGAAGAACGCAGCGAAAUGCGAUAAGUAAUGUGAAUUGCAGAAUUCAGUGAAUCAUCGAAUCUUUGAACGCACAUUGCGCCCGCUAGUAUUCUGGCGGGCAUGCCUGUCCGAGCGUCAUUUCAACCCUCAAGCCCCCGGGCUUGGUGUUGGGGAUCGGCGAGCCUCCGCGCCCGCCGUCCCCUAAAUCUAGUGGCGGUCUCGCUGUAGCUUCCUCUGCGUAGUAGCACACCUCGCACUGGGAAACAGCGCGGCCACGCCGUUAAACCCCCAUCUUCUGAACGUUUGACCUCGGAUCAGGUAGGAAUACCCGCUGAACUUAAGCAUAUCAAUAAGCGGAGGA
rnacentral:misc_RNA from 1 species